CACAAUGACUGAAAAAGAAUGAACAUCGGAUGGUGAAAAGCAGGUUGGAUCUGCACAUUCCCAGAUAUACCCAUGGAUGCUUUGUUCUUUGAAGCAAAGGCAAGGAACAAAACAGUUCAAGGAGUCCCUGCCCAUAACUACCAUCAGAGAAAUGAAAGCUGAAGGCAGAAUUGUAUUCCUGAAAAUUCUGGAUUUAGAUGAUGUUGAAGAUCUACAGGGCCUAGGAAGGAUAAUUUAAGUGGAAGCAGUCGCAAUCCACUCCACCAGACCACCGGACCACUCAAAUGUGAAGAAACCUGCGAGGAAGGAGGGUAAGCGUGCCAUCCUGCUAAUAAGGCUGAGACUAUGCGGUUUCAAGAGCACUUCCCCCUCCCCCCCACACACCCUCCUAGCUUACUCCCAGCAAAUGUACAAUCUCUGGAGAACAAGAUGGAUGAACUCAGAUCACGGCUCAGCUUCCAGCAUGAACUGCGGGACUGCUGUGCACUCUGCUUCACAGAAACUUGACUCAACCCAUCCAUUCCCGACUGCGUACUUCAGGCUAAUGGUUUUUCUAUCCAUCGCAUGAACCGUACAGCAUCCUCAGGUAAGACAAAGGGUGAAGGGGUUUGCUUUUUAAUCGACAACUUGAGGUGCACAGACCUUGCAACUCUGGGCAGCCACUGCUCCUCAAACCUUGAAUUCCUCACCAUCAAAUGCCACCUCUUCUAUCUAACAUGGGAAUUUACUGCUGCUACACUAACUGCUGCGUACAUACCUCCACAAGCAAAGGUUGAGGAAGCUCUGGAUGUACUGUAC